AUUGAACGCUGGCGGCAUGCUUUACACAUGCAAGUCGAACGGCAGCGCGGGCUUCGGCCUGGCGGCGAGUGGCGAACGGGUGAGUAAUGCAUCGGAACGUGCCCAGUAGUGGGGGAUAGCCCGGCGAAAGCCGGAUUAAUACCGCAUACGACCUGAGGGUGAAAGCGGGGGACCGAAAGGCCUCGCGCUAUUGAGCGGCCGAUGUCGGAUUAGCUAGUUGGUGGGGUAAAGGCUUACCAAGGCGACGAUCCGUAGCUGGUCUGAGAGGACGACCAGCCACACUGGGACUGAGACACGGCCCAGACUCCUACGGGAGGCAGCAGUGGGGAAUUUUGGACAAUGGGGGCAACCCUGAUCCAGCCAUGCCGCGUGCGGGAAGAAGGCCUUCGGGUUGUAAACCGCUUUUGUUCGGGAAGAAAUCCUCUGGGCUAAUACCCCGGGGGGAUGACGGUACCGGAAGAAUAAGCACCGGCUAACUACGUG
rnacentral:rRNA from 1 species